GACGAACGCUGGCGGCGUGCCUAAUACAUGCAAGUUGAGCGCUGAAGGUUGGUACUUGUACCAACUGGAUGAGCAGCGAACGGGUGAGUAACGCGUGGGGAAUCUGCCUUUGAGCGGGGGACAACAUUUGGAAACGAAUGCUAAUACCGCAUAAAAACUUUAAACACAAGUUUUAAGUUUGAAAGAUGCAAUUGCAUCACUCAAAGAUGAUCCCGCGUUGUAUUAGCUAGUUGGUGAGGUAAAGGCUCACCAAGGCGAUGAUACAUAGCCGACCUGAGAGGGUGAUCGGCCACAUUGGGACUGAGACAAGGCCCAAACUCCUACGGGAGGCAGCAGUAGGGAAUCUUCGGCAAUGGACGAAAGUCUGACCGAGCAACGCCGCGGGAGUGAAGAAGGGUUUCGGAUCGUAAAACUCUGUUGGUAGAGAAGAACGUUGGUGAGAGUGGAAAGCUCAUCAAGUGACGGUAACUACCCAGAAAGGGACGGCUAACUACGUG
rnacentral:rRNA from 1 species